rnacentral:rRNA from 1 species
AAGCUGAUGUAUAGGGGCUGACGCCUGCCCGGUGCUGGAAGGUUAAGGGGAAUAGUUAGCGCAAGCGAAGCUAUGAACUUAAGCCCCAGUAAACGGCGGCCGUAACUAUAACGGUCCUAAGGUAGCGAAAUUCCUUGUCGGGUAAGUUCCGACCCGCACGAAUGGCGUAAUGAUUUGAGCACUGUCUCGGCAAUAAAUCCGGUGAAAUUGUAGUGCAAGUGAAGAUGCUUGCUACCCGCGGUUGGACGGAAAGACCCCGUAGAGCUUUACUGUAGCUUAGCAUUGAAUUUCGGUAUUGUCUGUACAGGAUAGGUGGGAGACUUAGAAGCGAGGGCGUCAGCUUUCGUGGAGUCGUCCUUGGGAUACCACCCUGACAGUACUGGAAUUCUAACUGGAGGCCAUGAAUCUGGUCACAGGACAUUGCUAGGUGGGCAGUUUGACUGGGGCGGUCGCCUCCUAAAAGGGAACGGAGGCGCCCAAAGGUUCCCUCAGCGCGGUCGGAAAUCGCGCGGAGAGUGCAAAGGCAGAAGGGAGCCUGACUGCGACACAUACAGGGGGAGCAGGGACGAAAGUCGGGCUUAGUGAUCCGGUGGUUCUGUAUGGAAGGGCCAUCGCUCAACGGAUAAAAGCUACCUCGGGGAUAACAGGCUGAUCUCCCCCAAGAGUCCACAUCGACGGGGAGG